ACCUAGCCCACUUCCCAUUCAUCUUAAACCUUACACCCUAACCCUAAGACUCUUCUUCCUUGGACAAUAACAUACAAAAAGAACCAGAACCCCUAAACCCUUCAACCUUUCAGCCCCAACCCGAUUCCAACGACCACUCAGCCGUCGUCCAAUAAAAACCAGCGGCGGUGACCCUCAACAACACAAGACGCAACCGAUCUCCGAUAAAAGACCCCUGAAUUUUUGACCUCACACCAUCCCUCUUUCACCAAGCUCACACGAACACAACCUGCCGCUGAACGACCAAACGAUCCCACCCCGACCUCACUUCCAAUACCAGCCAGACCACCACCAAACACAGCCAGCAGUUCCACCCCGCCAGCGCCCCACUCGCUGAAAAACUCAUACAACCCUCCAACACAACCCACCUGACCACCACACCGUAUUUAAAUACAGUCAGCAAACAAAAGGGAAGAAGAUCGAAGAUGUAUACUACUGUCUCUCCAUUCCAUUUUCUAUUUAUGAAAGAUUAAGAAAAUAGAACAAAAAUUACAAAUGAAAUUUUUGUCGCUUCCUUUUCUCAGUUUCAGUGUUCGUUCUCAAAUUAUGGAUUUCACUUGAGUUCAAUUGGUCCGUUGUCGUUCGAGGUCAUGUUCGUGGUUCCGAAUUCAGUUUUUUUUUUUUUUGCUAUCUUGAUCGUUCACUGUUGGGCGUUAAAAGUUAGAACUACGAUGCCGAAUUUGCUUGUAAUUGCCUCCGAAUGACAGUAAUGAAAAGCUUUUAUUUCAGUGUUUGACCUUUAUGGCUAUAUGAAUUUCACAAAUUGUAUCGGAACGGAGUAGUUGAGGCGUUUGGGUUCGGCGCGAAAUCUUCAGGUGUCUGCUUUCGAGGUUGCUGUUUGAUUUUUCGGUCUAGCGUUGGUCGCUUGUUUAGUCUUGCGCUACCAAGCAAUUGAGUUUAAAGGUCCAAUCCCUUUUCCCUUCCCUUUAAUCCCUUAUGUGAUUUUUGGUUAUAUGUUUCUGAUGGUGUUAUCCUUUUGAAGUAGCAUGAAGUUCUGUGUAUGUGCCAUUAUCUAGAUUUGGGGCUCAACUUAAUUAACGUGAUUUAACUUCUAUGGCUUCAUUAAUCAGUUAAAUGAAAGUUUGAACUAAUGAGUUAAGUUGGAUAAAAGGAGAUGUGGGAUUUGAAAUUGAAAGAAAAUAGAGUUGGGAUAAUGUGUUGUGAUAAUAUUCAUGUUUCGAUAUUGCUAGUUUUAUUGAUCGCUAGACAUGCUUAGGCCAAUUACACUUGGGUAGGCAAGCUUUAGGAUUUUUGUUAAUUUUGAGGCGAGAUGUCGCUCUCGUAGUUAAAUUUAUUUGGGGAAUGCCCCGAAGAAUUUGUAUAUAUUAUUAUCCGGGAUAAUGCACCGAAGAACCAUGUAAAUAUUUUCGAGGCCUUGACAAGCAUGGGGGAGAAGUCGUAGUAUAGGUUAGCUUAGGGUUUUUCUUUUCUUUUCCUUUUCCUUUUCUUUUACUGGGUGGGGACGACCUCGAGCUUCGUAUGUGUUUAUUCUGCUUUUCGUGCUUAUUUUUACCUCAAUCUGAAUUCUAAAAGUCAACUAGAUCGACUAUGCAACCGUGACUUUCAUGGGACUCGGGGAAUGCCUAACACCUUUCCCCCGAAUCAAAUGAACCCUCUUACCCUAAUGUCUGGUGCAACCUUGAUUUUAGAGUCCAAAGUAUUUUAAAAGGAAAAAUUAUUUGUUAAAGAAAAACGGUGACCUGAUACACUAAAAUCGAAUGUCAAUUGACGACUCUGAGUUAAUCCUUUUGAACACAAUUUUUGUCACGUUCGAAUAAGAAGAUACUUUUCAAGCUUUACAUAAUCUUUUUAUUAUUUUAAGAGGGUUUAGUAAGGUUUUGUUAAAAAAAAGAGGGUGUGACAGACGUGAAUCGGAUCGUUUUUAAGAAAAUUGGAAAUUUGAAGUUCUUAAGAAAAUUUCAUGAUUUUGAUGCUAAAUUCAUAGUUGAUGGUGUUAUUUUGAUGAUGUGAUCGCACGAGUAGGUCCAUGUGAUGUUUUUGAGUUAGUAUGCACGUUUGGUUUGGAGUCCUGAUGGCUCAGGUUGUUUCGGGUAUGAUUCGAGGUGUCUUAGACUUAAAUCAUGGAUAUUGGAGGUUCAUCGAAGUGCAAAUAACUGAACCUGCCACUGCGGUCCGCACUACAUUUUGUGUUGUCCGCACUGGAGGUUGUGCGGCCGCACUCGAUUUUGUGCGGCCCGCCCAGGUUCUCUGCUCCAACUUCGGAAGCCUACAUCUUUUGAUCCAAAAGGAAUUUUGAGAUGCUUCAAAACCAAAAAAUGUAGCCCUUCGUGUAUAGUUGCCAGAAAGCUAUAGAAAUCGCAAUUUGGACAUCUGUAGAUAAAGUCAUGACAAAAAUACUAAAACAUGUCACUGCAGUCAAACACUUUUAGCUGUGCGGCUCAAUCGAUUUUGUGCGGUAUGCACAGGGCAUCUGAGAGUGGUAUAGUUAAACGGCAUUUUCAGUUAUUUUUUAUUUUUCAAAACCCCAAAAACAUAAGAGGAGAUUUUUCAAACAACUAUUUUUCUCCAAAACAUUGGUAAGUGAUUUCUAACUCAUUUUCUUUACUCCUUAACUUCUUCUUACAAUAUUUCAUCCUAGAAUCUUGAGUUUUCAUGGUGGAAUUGGGAAUUUUAGGUAAAACUUAAGAAUAUUGAAAUUUGGGGAUUUAGACCUCAAAUUGAGGUCGGAUUUCAAAACCAAUUACAUAACUGGUCUCGGGGUGAAUGGGUAAUCGAAUUUUGGUCCGAAUUUCGGAUUUGGAUCAAGCGUGCCCGUGAUCGAUUUUUGACUUUUUGGGAAAGACUUCAGAAAACUUAUUUCCAUGCAUUAGAAUUGAUCCAUUUAGCAUUUAUUGAUGUUAUUAAGUAGCUUGUGGCUAGAAACGAGCGAGUUGGUGGUAGAAUCAAGAAGUAAAGCGAUAAUUGAGACGUGAAUUGUGUUCGUGGUAUCGAGGUAAGUGUUUGGUCCAAUCUUAGCUUGAGGGAUUAGGAGUUAUUUUCUAUUUGUUACUUGCUUCUUGUUGAGUACGACGUAUAAACGAGUAUCUAUACGUUAGUGUCGAGCAUGACCGUGAGUCUUAAAUUAAUAUUUUAUUGUGUUCUAAAAUAUUACUACGGAUGAUUACGUUGAUGAUUCUCUUUAUUGAUCAAGUUAUGAUUAUUCUCAUGGAAGUUACUUAUGAGUGAGUUUGGUGUUAGUUGAGGGUAGUCAGAUAUUGGAACAACUUUGGUUAUAGCAGUUUCUCCCUUGCCGGGACGUAGUUACUUAUACUGUCGAUUGCCUUGCCGGGAUAGUGUAGCUCUUUAUUGAUCCCUUGCAGGGACUCUUGUUAUGAUUAUUACUGAUUGUAUAUAUGGAUCAGGUUUCACGCCGCAACAAUGAUAUAUGUGGAUGAUAUAAUAAUAAUAUGAUUGGAUUGGGUUGCGUGCUGCAAUAAUGAUAUAUAUAUUUGGAUCUGGUUGCAAGCCGCAACAAUAUUAUAUGUGGAUCGGGUUGCACGAUACAACAAUAAUAUGAUUGGAUCGGGUUGCACGCUGCAACAAUAAUAUGAUCGGAUCGGUUGCACGCUGCAACCGUGGUUAAUGAUAUGGAACAGGUUGCACGCUGCAACAAUUGUCAAUACAAAGUAUUUAUAGAUUGGAUACAAGUUUCUUAUUGUUUUGUUGUGAAGUCUAGGUGGUCUUUAUGCCUUUACUCUUGAUUUACUAUUGAUAUUUAUAUAUCCCGGCAGCAUGUACCCCCUCAAUCUUUAAAUGCACAGGUUUAUUUGGUAGUUUGGUCCUAGCCUCGUCACUACUAUGCCGAGGUUAGGCUAGGCACUUACCAGCAUAUGG
rnacentral:lncRNA from 1 species